AAGAAAAACUUGGGAAAGGGGCCCCCAGACGCACUUCUCCCACACCCUGGCUCGAUUUCCCGGCACGGGCAAACCAGUGCAGCCAGCCUGACCUGCUCCAGCAAAGCCUGAGGCCCGGAUGCCACUGGGAAGGGAGUUUUUGGGGUGAGCUGAAAGGGCUCACCCUCACCUGCCCCCACAGAAGCGGCUCUUGGCUGGGAGGAAGCCUGGCCCUUUUCUAGAACAAUCCAGCAGAGUGGUUCUCCCCCCCACCCCGGAAGGGGGGGAGGGGCAGGGGACGGUAGAGGGAAGCGGAGGAGUGGGGAGCCCCAGGAAAACAGCCAGCGGGGGUUAAGAAAAAGGGGUUUGAGGCAGGCCUCUGGGGAGCUGAGGGAACACAGACAGGACCGCCGAGUCCCGGAAAUCGCUGCAGGGCAGCCCUGGCUUCUCAGAGCAGAGGACUCGGGCUGCUGGGGAGAAGGGGGGGAGCAGAGUGGUCAAGUUUGCAUAGUCAUUGUCAGAGCGCCUCCUGGAAAAGCAGGCCAGAGAGCCAUUUGCCCGCGGAGAAUCUAACUUCUCACCACUCCCCCCCUCACCCAGGACUCCAAGGAAAACCAAAAUGGGUUCCUGCCUCCCUGCCAGGAUGCCAAUGGGGGCCCCCCUCUCCGUCCUUACCCUAAGAAAAGCCCAAUGCGCUCCUAGCAGGCCACAUGCCUAGAUCUACCAACUUCCCUCCCCUCCCGGCCCCCUCCCCCACCACGGAGGCCUGCUAAACCUGUCAGUUAAACAAAAAUCUGACUUCCGUAUUAGUCUGCAAUGCCUUCAGCUUCCUGCCUAUUAACCCUCUCUCGGACUCUGGGCCUGGCUGGGAAAAACUAGGCCCUGAGAUCGCAAAAAAGGCCUGUGGAAAAAUACCAGCUGCAGCUCUCCCGGCAGAUGCAGAAAGAGAGAGAGCGAGCGAGCCGCUGUCUCUCGCCUUUGCUUCCCAAGGAGGCGUGUACCUUCUGAAUCCAGGGCACAGGCAGUGCCUCUCGGUCUGAGAAGCCAUUUAAAUCCAGAGGGAGAAAGAAAGAUGUCAAGCCCAGCGAGGGAACAAGAACCCCCAUUAUUAGCCAGGCCUACACCCACAGCUUAGCCCUUCCUGCUACAAUCAUCCCUCAAGCUGGAACAACAGAAGCUAAACAAACACCAUUCUUCAGAGGCUGGAGAAAGCUUCCAGAGGUGACGCAACCAUAUGCCAGGAGGGGAUGGAGAGAAUCAGGAGACAGAAUCAGGCUUACGGAAGCCAGACGGAGUGUCUCAGUGAUAAAGCUGGCCUCAAAGGAGAGGAAGGGCUGACCCGGCUCCCUUCCCCAGGCAACUUACUGCCGAGGAGGCCUCGCUGAAACGGCUCUCCGCUCCCGCUGGCCUGCAGCCAGCCGAGCAGCGGGAGGAACCGCGUCGGCAAGCUGCAUCCCGAAGAUAGCCCGCUCCCGGACUAGCAAAAUAAGCACACUCCGAGUUAUCUGCCUCGAGCUAGCGAAAGGCCGCCCGUCCGUUAUGUGAACCGGGCGAGACUGAGGCAGGGAAGUGUUUUAAAUAUCUUGUUUUGUUUUGUUAUUUUUUGGCCAAUUGGAACCGAGGCCGGCUUCAGGCACGGUGACAGAAGGGCUCACCUUCAGAGCAUGGAACUGACCGAGUCCUGUUACAGCCACAAAGACGUAAUUAGGACUUGUCCCUACCUUGGAGAAGAGGUGCCCUCCAGAAGGCUUUUUUUUUUUUUUUUUUUUUUUUUUUUAAACUUCUUCCUAGGAGGGGCUGGUUGGUCGGAUCCAAAAAAUGGAGGGAGGCGGAAAGGGAAGGGGGAGGGGAGGGGAGGGGUGCGGGGUACAUGACCAUCAGGCAGAUGGCCGCGGUGUGGGUGCGGAGAGACUUAAGAGAUGCAGGAAGAAAAGGACAAUCAGAAGGACGAAGAUUCAGGACCUCCCCUGACCUGCUCUUUUUGUCCCCAGCAAUCACCGUUAUGGAAAGGGGAGCACGUGUUUAUUUCCUGUUUGUUUCUUUGUCCCACUAGACCAGUGGCAAUGUCAGGAGACAUUUUAGGCUGUCCCAUCUGGAGGAAGGGGGCUGCUACUAGGAUCUGGAGGGUCCUAAACACUCUACCAAACACAGGACAGCUCCCCCCCACCACCCGCUACAACAGAGAACUAGCCAGCCCUGAGUAUCCCUAACGCCAAGGCUAAUAAGAAAGCCUGCUGUAAACGGAAAGCUUUAGGAAGGGAGAGCCUGGUGUGAAAUUCUUCACCUUUGCGCCCUACAAGUGGCAGAGCUCAAUUAAACGCCACCUCCCACCUGGACAGAAGCACUCGGGUCUCCCACCUGAGCACCCGCUCCUGGUCUCCUACCUGAACAGGGCAGGGGAGUUAGACUGGGAAGAAACUGGAGUAUUUACACACAUGCACAGGCUGCAAGCAAUCCUUUGCUAAGAAGUCAGACCUCAUCCCUUCUCUGCUCAAAACCCAUCAGUAGAUCCCACCCAAGUGGUAAAAAUGGCCCACCAGAUCAGUGCCCUGCUCCUGAUCGCUGACUCCACUGCGUUCUUCUCCACUCCCAGGGCUCACUCUGCUCCCUCUCCUCGCGCCACCCUGAGCCUCCUCCAUCUGUUCUUCCCACCGCCUAACCAUUCCCUCCCUCCUGCAGCCCUUCCCCGUUGCUCUCCAACUUCCCCUCCCCCAGACCAUCUCCCCUGCUCCCCAAGCCACCUAAUAAAAGACAAGCCCUGUUUCCUCCUGGGCCUACACGUAUCCGCCUUCCUGCCUUCUCCUCUGCCAUCACUGUCUUCCCCUCCCCGCGCCUUCCCAGAUGCCUCCCCCCUGCCUCAGAGCCAUCUUCUUCCAUGUUAACCUUUUCUCUUUCCACAUCAAGAAGCAGAACCGUGCAGUGACUGAGUGCGUCGCUGCUGGCAUCAGACUCUCUGAUGUCUGGGUGUGAAUCUUGCUGCCGCACUAGCCAGCUGCCCCGCCUGGCUUGAGGUACAGAAUUCUCUGUGCCUUGAUUUCCUCAUCUGUACAAUGGGAACAAUAAUAAUACCCACCCGGAAAUCCACUGCAUCAAGGUGGAAGGUGGUCAAGCACGAGUUGUCACACAAGACACAGUGAGCACUCAUGCACUUGCUUUUACCACAUCCCUCUGAUGACUCUUAAAAAGGAAAUUUCUGGAGGCUUCCAAGUCAUUUUUCUUCCUUUUCUCAACAUCAAAAUUUCCAAAGGAGGGUAAGGAUAAAUCCCACUGGCUGGCACGCUCCAAGCUUUAUGUCCAGUGCUAUUCCAAGCACUUAUCCUCCCAAACCUGCAAGAUGGGCCCCAUAUAGUCACCAUAUAUUCAUCAACCCAUUUCCUUGAUGAGGAAGCUGAGGAACUAUUAAUAGUCCCCUCCCAUUAAGAAAACAUCUCAGGUGCCUGGAUGGCUCAGUCGGUUAAGCCUUGGCCUUCAGUUCAGGUGUGAUCCCGAGGUCCUGAGAUCGAGCCCCACAUGGGCUCCCUGCUCCACCUGGAACCUGCUUUUCCCUCUGUAGCUCCCCCUGCUUGUGCGUGUGCGCACGCGCUCGCUCUCUCUCUCUCAAUCUGUGUCAAAUAAAUAAAUAAAAUCUUAAAUAAAUUAAAUCUUUUUAAAAAUCUUAAAAAGGGGCGCCUGGGUGGCUCAGUGGCUAAGCAUCCAUCUUCAACUCAGGUCACGAUCCCAGGGUCCUGGGAGCGAGCCCCCGCAUCUGGCUUGCUGCUCAGCAGGGAGCCUGCUUCCUCCUCUCUCUGCCUGCCUCUCUGCCUACUUGUGAUCUCUAUCUGUCAAAUAAAUAAAUAAAACUUAAAAACAAAAAACAAAAACCCUUAACUUUAUAAAUAAAUAAAUCAGUAAACUUAAUAUUAGGAAAAUUCUGGAAGACUAUGACCUGCCAAAGAAAGAUUAGUGGGGGGCCCAUCCAGGCAUCCCCAUUGGGUCACCUGCACCUUUCAUUGUUUCUGGGCUUUUUACAGCUCUGACACCGACAGAAGGCUAAUACUAAUGCAAAGGCUCCCAUCCACAGACAUGCAAAUUUAGCCCCUGGAAUGCAAUUGAUUAUUGGCUUGUGGAUAUUGGGGGGUCUUGCUAAUUUUUGCAUCUAUUCAUCAUAAGUUCAUGUCAGCAUUUCCUGUAUGAGGACGGCUUUGACUCCAUCUUUGAAUUAGCUGGACGGUCAUACACGUGCCCUCAUUAAUAAUGAGUUACAUAAAACACAUAAAAUGUGUUC